rnacentral:antisense_RNA from 1 species
UUUGGCACGACAUUGCUCACAUUGCUUCCAGUGUAAUUUAUAGCUUUACAGGAAAGCGAUUUGUCA